rnacentral:lncRNA from 1 species
CUCUCUGUCCCCGCCCUGUUCUAUGGAUUCCGUUAACUCCUGGGUCCCUCUCAGCCCGGGGUGGGGUGGAUUAAAUCGCCUCCCCCGCGGGAGCAGAGGUCACCAGCAGGAAAGGGUCCAUGCCAGGACGCAGGCCCAAGCAUGUGGUUGCCUGACACUGCCUGCCAGGGGGACUGCUGUGACAGUCCUGGGCGCUGACAGAGUACCACGCACGGUACACCGAGCAGGGCAUCCCCGAGCACUGCCUGCCAUGGAUAAGCGCGGGCUGAGCUCCACCCUGCUCAGAAGCCUGGAUUGUGCCGUCACAGUCCUGCAGACCCAGCCAUACCCACGGCCAGGGAGCGCAGCAAGGUCCGAGGGAGCACCUUGGACAUCAAGGCCCAAGAGAGCAGCAGGACAGACCCACCCGAGCGCAGCGGGAGUUACCCGAGCAGAGACGCUUCCCAAGGAUGGACUGGGCGGUUGGAAGCACCCGCAGUGACCUUAUGGGACGUCUGAAGCAGCUAAGAGAUCUCUGCUGCGAAGAUGAAGUUUACAAAGAAAAACUCUGUAUUGGUACUCAUAAUUAACGACCCUUUGCCAGAAAGAUCUUCGGAUGAGUAAAAUCUGGUUGCCACAGCUAGAACACAGCUCAAUAAACCUCAGUCAAAUGUCUUUGUUUUGUGCUUAGCAGAAGGGAAUACCAGAGAGGGGAAGGCACUUGCCUC